GGAAAGAGAGCAUUCAAUCUGGCAUAUUAUAUAAACUGGUUAGGGCAAUUUCAAAUUAUCUACACUUGGAUUCCCUGGCCUUUGUGGAAGAACAUCAUGAAACAAUCUUUUCUAUUUUUAAUCUUUUCAACUAUAAGGAGGUUGUCGUGGUUAUUAUAUUACAUGAUAAAUGUUCUUUUUGUGGAGACUCUCGGGAUAAAUUAAUUUGUUCUAAGCAUCAGGGACAAUUAUGUUUCUCCUGAGAAAUUGAAAAAACAAAUCUUAUGACACUGAGAUGUGUCCUCAAAGUCUCACUGUCACACUGACCCUUAGAAAGCUUGAAAUUAAAAUUUCAACAUAUUCAUAGCACAUAUGUAAGACUUUAUGGUAUAUAUUUUUGUGUUAAGUUUACUUCUGGCUUUAUCAUAUGUUUCUAUGUCCCCUUCCCCCUAUUUACACUAGUAAUAGCAUUUGGUUUGGCUGGAAUGAAAACCCCCAAAUACCAUGAAUUCAAUAAGAUAGAAGCUAUGUUUCUUCUCAGGUAAAAUUCUGGGUUGGUAGUCCAAGUUUGGAAGGGCAGCUCCGUGGUCAUCAGGCACCCAGACUUUUUCUUCUUCUUUUUUUGGUGAGUCCAUUUAUUUAUUUGUUUGUUUAUUUCUUUUUAAUGAUUUUUAUUUUUUCCAUUAUAGUUGAUUUACAGUGUUCUGUCAAUUUUCUACUGUACAGCAAAGUGACCCAGUCACACUCACACGUAUAUAUACACUCUUUUUCUCACAUUAUCCUCCCUCAUGCUCCAUCACAAGUGACUAGAUAUAGUUCCCAGUGCUAUACAGAAGAUCUCAUUGCUUAUCCAUUCCAAAUGCAAUAGCUUGCAUCUAUCCAGUCCUCCCCUCCCCCUCGGCAAGGGCACCCAGACUUCUAAUGUGUUUAUUGCUCUGUGGUCCUCAACACACAGCUUCCAACCCCUGGGUCCAAGAUAGCUGCCCUCGCCAUCCUGUCUGCAGCCAGUCAGCAGGAGGGGGCACAACCAAUCCUGCCUUUUAAGGAUACUUUCUAGAAGUUGCAUAAACAACCUCCAUUUACAUCCCAUUGGCCAGACCUUAGUCAUAUGGGUACACCUGGCUAUAAGGACAGCUGGGAAAUGUGGGUAGCUGUGCAUUUUAGCUAAAAAUGAGAAAUCUUAAUAAGGUAGAGGAAGGAGAGAUGGGCUGUUAGGAAACAAGUAGAAGGCUGUGCUAAUUUAGAUAAUCGUAUGUAUCUUUGUGAAUGACUUCAAAUUCUGUUCAUGCUGGGACAGGGUGGUUAUAAUUAAUGAAGGAAUAAGCAAGUUUACAUUCCUUAGAAGGAGGAUGGAUCGUGUUCUUGUUUCUGUUUAGUAUGAGUCAGAAUGCCAGAACCAGUCUUUGAUGCCAGAGAGUUCUCCCACAGUUUCUGUAAUCCUAAUUUGGGAUACUCAGAUUGCUAAGGAUUGGCAAGGGCAGGACUGAUGAGCUUGAGCUGUUGUUUUUAAUCUCCGAAAGACUAAUGAGCAAUACAUAUUCACCUGAGCUGAGGUUUAUCUAAGUCUUUGAUAAUAAGGGGAAAUCAUUAUUAUUCAAUGUAAUUAUCUUUCGGUAUCUGUGGAGAUUGGUUCCAGGACACCAAAGCAUACCCAAAUCUGCAGAGGCUCAAGUUCCUUGUAUAAAGUGUCAGUAGGACUGUUGCCCCUAUAUCCAUGGUUUCUGCAUCAAUGGAUUCAACUGCCUUUGACCAAAUUGGUUGAAUCUGUGGAUGCUGAAUCCAAGGAUAUGGAGGAAUGACUGUACAUGCAGUUUCUUUGGUAGGCAAAUAUCUUUCAAAAAGUGUGGCUUGUGGGGAACCAUGGUAUUGUAAGGACACGCCAAAAAGUAUCCAGAGUGGUGAAAUAUUUUGGUGCCCCUGGCUGGAACUGUUGUUUUGUCAUGAGACUUUAAAUUUGUAUAGCUACACUAGAGCCAUAUUUUUCAAACUUGUAGGACAUUAGGGACAUUGUUAAAACUGCUGUUACCUGGACCCCACCCCCAGAGAGUCUGAUUUUUUUUAGCUAGGGGACAGCAUUUUGACAAAUACUGGACUAAAAGAUGUUGAUUGCCCGAAGUUAAAAAUUUAUAAAUGGAGUUAAUUAAACUUUCCUUUGGGGUGUGUUGGGGGAAACAAAUAUGAGCAAGUCUCUGAAAAACACAGAAUUUGCUGUAAAUACUUUAUUUUCCAGGUUUUAGAAGGGUCCAGCAUUUCUCCUGCUCAUGACAAUUUCUUUUGUGAAGCAUGAUCUUCAGAUCAACUGAGCACAAUUGAAUUCCAGCCUUAAUGUUAAUGAUUUGAUGAGGGCUUUUAGCACUCUCUUGAAGCUCUGGCCACCUGACAUCCCAGGCACCAAUGGGCAUAGAGAAAGCAUCCUUAGGUUCUUCCUCACCAUAGCAACCAGUACACACUGAUCCAUGUAUGUCAGCUUCCAAGCUGGCGAUUCUACAGGGUCAGCUGUGUCAUAGCAACAGGAGAAAGCCGUAGUUGACUCUGGCAUUUCAAACGCCCUGGAAAAAGGUUUCAAUCCCAGGCAUGACUUCUUCUCUGUAGUUUCCUGCUGUUUCGACUCUGGGAGUUAGGGGCUUGAGGGCAGCAGGGUGGGAGGGGGGAUCUGGGCUGUGAAUGAUAUUGGUGACUGAUGUGUGCAAAUUCCUGAACCAGCAGGAAAUAAAACAUGUGAAUUUUAGGAGAAGAGAGGGAAUCACAUUCAUAAAAACAGCUUGUGAUUUAGACCAGGAAGUGAGUUACAAGUUCUUCACUCAAUGUGAAAUAUCAAGACACAGGAAAAUCAAUCUUCCUUGCCUUUGAGUGUUUGUGGAUGUUGGAUUAAAAUUAAGAUGCUGGGGGGAGGGAGGAGGAAGUGAGAUGGGAAGUUUGGGGUUCGUAAAUGCAAACUAUUACAUCUAGAAUGGAUAAGCAAUGGAGUCCUACUGUACAACAGGGAACUAUGUCCAAUCUUUUGGGGUAGAACAUGAUGGAAGAUAGUAUGAGAAAAGGUGUAGGUUGCAGAUGCAGCUCUGAUCUGGCAUUGCUGUGGCUGUGGUGUAGGCCAGCAGCUACAGCUCCAAUUUGACCCCUAGCCCAGGAACCUCCAUAUGCUGUGGGUGUGACAACCCCCCCAAAAAGACCAAAAAAAAAAAAAAAUAGCUAAUGUCACUUUCUGCAUGUAGAGAAGUCUUUGGUUUGGAAUGCAAUGGAAAGGCCAAUUUUUGAAACAUCAUAAUCUGUGAACCAGCAUUUCUUUGCGCAAGAGUGAGGCAGGCAGUAAUUUCCUUCUCUUCAUCAUUAUUGCUGAAAUUUGUUGAAUUUUUCUAUGGUCCAAACAUCCCACAUUCAUUUAAUUCUUACAACUAAUUCUCUGGGGUAGAUAUUAUAACUGCCAUGUUAGAGAAUGUAGGGGAAGGAAAGGAUCCUUUUUCUUUGCCCUCUUGGGUUCUGUGGCUGGGGCCCGUGAAUUACACAAAUAAAAGACAGCUUAACAGGAGAAGAAACUUAUCUUGAAUAGAUAUGGGGGCUUCACAAGAAAAAAGUGAAAUCCCAAAGAAAGUGUUAGACCUGGGGGCUUAUAAACCAUUUUAACAAAGAAUGAUAAAUUGUGAAGUAAGUAGACAAGGUGAAUUAAACACCUAAAAGACAGAUUAACAGGAGAAGAGAUUUAAUCUUGAAUAGAUAUGUAGGCUUCACAAGAAAAAAGUGAAAUCCCAAAGAAAGUGUUAGACCCUGGGGCUUAUAUACCAUUUUAACAAAGGAUGAUAAAUUGUGAAGUAAGUAGACAAAGGAAGGAGGGUGAAUUGUGCGAAGUAAUUUAGCAAUAAAUUGUGCUUCCAGGGACAGUCAAUUGUGGGCAGGUAAAUAUAUGGGGGAAACUAGUAGAAGAGAAGAAUUUUUUAAGAUUUAUGAUACAAACUCAAUUGUUUUCUCCAUUGAUAAGAGUUGUCUCUAGUGAUUGAGUUGUCUUCAUCUUCCUGGUAUAGAAGAGGGAGACACUUUUACACAUGGAAAUUUAUGCCUUGCUUUUAGGCAGAAAGAAGGAGGGCAGAGAGCUAAUUGCUUUUAGCUUGAAAUAAUCUCUUAACCAAAGUGGCAUCUUUUAGGGUAGCAUACUUCAAUCCCCUUCAAAAUCAAACAAUCCUGACUGGAGAUAAAUAGAUCAAUGGAAUAGAAUAGAAAGUCUGUAUACACCCCAAUACACAGAACUUUAUUAAUGAUAAAAGUGACAUCUUCAGUAAAUGGGGAAAAUAGAAACUGCCAGUAUUCAAUAAGUGAAGUUGGAAUAACCAUUUGGGAAAAAAAAAAUGAAGUUAGAGCCAUUUACACCAUUUACCAGGACAAAAUCCAAAUGGAUCAAAGAUUUAAGUAUAAAAAGUGAAGCCAUAAAAAUUUUUAUAAGGAAAUUACUUUUUGACUUUGAAAUGAAGAUGGAUUUUUUUUAUGACACAAAAUCUAGAAGCCGUAAUUAAAGAGAUCAAUACAUUUAAACUUGGAGAGGAACAUUGUAUGCAUGGCAAAAAAGCACC
rnacentral:lncRNA from 1 species